AAAAAAAACUUUACAGAAAAGUCGGAUGUUUUUAGCUUCGGUAUAAUUUUUUGGGAAGUGAUCCAACGAGAGAAGCCAUUUUGCGACAGGGAUUUGCAUGACAUCAGUGAAUAUAUAAAAAGAGGUAUUCGACCUGAUAUUUAUAAUUUGAUCAAUGACGAUUAUAGUGGUAUAGUACCGAUAAUGGAAUGUUGUUGGCGCCAAUCCUCAACAGAUCGUCCAACGAUGAGUGAAGUGCGUCGCGAUUUAAAUUAUUCAAUUAAGCGCUAUGACCAUCAAUCAAAUUGCUGCAUAAGUUAGAACGAAACUAUUAUUAAGCAAUAACAAAUUAUAUUAUAUCAGAAUAAUACAGAUUAUGUUGACCCUUUA